UGCAGAUCGUCACGUCAACAUUUAGCCAUAAUGUUUUAACAUAACUGAUGUGUACGAAGGAAGCAAGGAUAUGUGCUGCCCAAAUUUUCAACGUUUAGCAGUCAUUAUAUAAUGAUAUAGCAGUACCUUAUGCUUGCAGUGCAGAUCAUCAGGUCAACAUGGAUCUUAGAACCAUACAUGGUAUCAACUUAUGUUAACAUGGAUGGAUUGAUGUAAACAUGGAUGAAUACUCGGCAUGCCGGAUGAGAACCUGGUUUGCAGACCUUUAUCAUGCUCAACAUGGUCUCAUAAAGGUUUCAUACACAUAGUUAUGGUAAAUAUGGGAGGAAGAAGUGAUGUGUUGGAUAACAUCAUGUUUUUUCAAUUGACCAUGUGGACUAUUUACAUAUAACUGAAUUCUUUAAAACGUCUGUUCAUCUUGAAAGUGCCUACAUGUACUUUAUCUACAAAUGAUGUACAUUUCCCUGUAUUAAGAAUUUUGAGGAUCGAGUGCCAAAAGUAUGCGGAACAAGAAUUCCAACAAAAUAUAAAACUGCAUUCUUACAAAUACAAAGCAAAUUAUAUAAAUGAGAUGGAUGGAGCUGAGAAGUUUACUUGUCUGGUAUUGGAAUAUAUACAAUGUUAAAAGAAUGAAGAUUUUUUUUCACAUUGUUUUGAAAGAAACUUUUCAAAAAAGUUAGCUUGAACAAUUAAAGAUAAAUCUUUAGACAAGA